CAACACUAGCUUAGACAGCGUUUAGUAUUCUCGUUAUUGAUUAAAGUAUACAAAAUGUGCUGUAUAGUCCUAUGUUAUAAAGUCACAAUUAUUUGAUAAAAGAUUGAGGAAAGUAUGACGUAUUUUAGAACUAUGAUAAUAACAUUAAUGUAACUUGCACGAAGGUCGUGGAUUUUCGUUUUCAAUAGAACUGCAAGGUAUAACGUCAGCAAUAUUACAACAGAAAAACUGCGGCAAGUGUACCCACCAGGAAGUGAUAUGUAAAGUAGGGUCUUGGGUGGGACUGACCACAGUGAACUGUGAUCAACCAGGAAGUGAUGUGUAAGGUAGGGGUCUUGGGUGGGACUGACCACAGUGAAGUGUGAUCAACCAGGAAGUGAUAUGUAAGGUAGGGGUCUUGGGUGGGACUGACCACAGUGAAGUGUGAUCAACCAGGAAUUGAUAUGUAAAGUAGGGUCAUUGGUGGGACAGACCACAGUUGAAGUGUGAUCGACGAGGAAGUGAUAUGUAAAGUAGGGUCUUGGGUGGGACUGACCACAGUGAAGUGUGAUCAACCAGUAAGUGAUAUGUAAAGUAGGGUGUGGGUGGGACUGACCACAGUGAACAGUCAUCAACGAGGAAGAGAUAUGUAAAGUAGGGUUCUAGGGUGGGAUUGACCACAGUGAACGGUCAUCAACCAGGAAGUGAUAUGUAAAGUAGGGUCUUGGGUCGGACUGACCACAGUGAAGUGUGAUCAACCAGGAAGUGAUAUGUAAGUAGGGGCAUGGGUGGGACUGACCACAGUGAAGUAUGAUCAACCAGGAAGUGAUAUGUAAAGUAGGGUCCUUGGGUGGGACUGACCACAGUGAAGUGCGUGAUCAACAUGGAAGUGAUAUGUAAAGUAGGUUCUUGGGUGGGACUGACCACAGUGAAGUGUGAUCAACCAGGAAGUGAUAUGUAAG